GUGUCAGCAGCCGCGGUAAUACGGAGGGUGCAAGCGUUGUCCGGAUUUAUUGGGUUUAAAGGGUGCGUAGGCGGUUAAUUAAGUCAGCGGUGAAAGACUACAGCUCAACUGUAGCAGUGCCAUUGAUACUGGUUAACUUGAGUAUUGUUGAGGUAUUUGGAAUUUAUAGUGUAGCGGUGAAAUGCAUAGAUACUAUAAGGAACACCGAUAGCGUAGGCAGAAUACUAAGCAAUAACUGACGCUGAGGCACGAAAGCGUGGGUAGCGAACAGGAUUAGAUACCCCCGUAGUCC
rnacentral:rRNA from 1 species